UACAGAGGUCUCAAGCGUUGUUCGGAUUCAUUGGGCGUAAAGGGUGCGUAGGCGGCGCGGUAAGUCGGGUGUGAAAUCUCGGAGCUUAACUCCGAAACUGCACUCGAUACUGCCGUGCUUGAGGACUGGAGAGGAGACUGGAAUUCAUGGUGUAGCAGUGAAAUGCGUAGAGAUCAUGAGGAAGACCAGUGGCGAAGGCGGGUCUCUGGGACGGUACUGACGCUGAGACGCGAAAGCGUGGGGAGCGAACAGG
rnacentral:rRNA from 1 species